rnacentral:pre_miRNA from 1 species
UUUAUACUCCCUCCGUCCCAAAAUUCUUGUCUUAAAUUUGUCUAAAUACGGAUGUAUCUAGUUACAUUUUAGUGUUAGAUACAUCCGUAUCUAAACAAAUGUAAGACAAGAAUUUUGGGACGGAAGGAAUACUAC